AUGACUGUGACGGAUGAAGAAUGAAGACAGGGAUGGGCUCAGCAACCUUCAGGGGUGAAGAGAGACCUUCAGCAAGGUCAAGAACAUCUGAAAUGACUGGCUUAAGCUACAGCAGCUCUUGUUUUCUAGUCUGGUCCUGUGUUUCACCUGGCUCCUACUUGGCAUGUGAUACAGUAAUUGUCUUAUUCGCAUUCCUGUCUUCUUUGCUUGUUAGGUGAGUUUGU
rnacentral:lncRNA from 1 species